CACGUAGGCGGCUCGUUAAGUCGGAUGUGAAAUCCCUCGGCUCAACCGAGGAAGUGCAUCCGAAACUGGCGAGCUUGAGUACGGAAGAGGGUCUCGGAAUUCCCGGUGUAGAGGUGAAAUUCGUAGAUAUCGGGAGGAACACCAGUGGCGAAGGCGGAGACCUGGGCCGAUACUGACGCUGAGGUGCGAAAGCGUGGGGAGCAAACA
rnacentral:rRNA from 1 species